CACGUAGGGGGCAAGCGUUGUCCGGAUUUAUUGGGCGUAAAGAGCUCGUAGGCGGCUCGGUAAGUCGGGUGUGAAAUUUCGAGGCUCAACCUCGAACGACCACCCGAUACUGCUGUGGCGUAGAGUCCGGUAGGGGGACGUGGAAUUCCUGGUGUAGCGGUGAAAUGCGCAGAUAUCAGGAGGAACACCAGCGGCGAAGGCGGCGCUCUGGGCCGGUACUGACGCUGAGGAGCGAAAGCGUGGGGAUCAAACAGG
rnacentral:rRNA from 1 species